rnacentral:misc_RNA from 1 species
GAUGAAGAACGUAGUGAAAUGCGAUAAGUAGUGUGAAUUGCAGAAUUCAGUGAAUCAUCGAAUCUUUGAACGCACAUUGCGCCCCUUGGUAUCCCGAGGGGCAUGCCUGUUCGAGCGUCAUUUCACCACUCAAGCCUGGCUUGGUGUUGGGCGACGUCCUCUUUGGGGACGCGCCUCGAAACGCUCGGCGGCGUGGCACCGGCUUUAAGCGUAGCAGAAUCUUUCGCUUUGGAAGUCGGGGCCCCGUCUGCCGGAAGACCUGCUCGCAAGGUUGACCUCGGAUCAGGCAGGGAUACCCGUUGAACUUAAGCAUAUCGAUAAGCGGAGGA